rnacentral:rRNA from 1 species
UACAGAGGUCCCAAGCGUUGUUCGGAUUCAUUGGGCGUAAAGGGUGCGUAGGUGGCGUCGUAAGUCGGGUGUGAAAUCUCGGGGCUUAACUCCGAAACUGCAUUCGAUACUGCGGUGCUUGAGGACUGGAGAGGAGACUGGAAUUUACGGUGUAGCAGUGAAAUGCGUAGAGAUCGUAAGGAAGACCAGUGGCGAAGGCGGGUCUCUGGACAGUUCCUGGCACUGAGGCACGAAGGCCAGGGGAGCAAACGGG